GGCUAUUCACAUUUUGCCAGAUCAAACGGCUCAGAUGGGGCUUGUAACCGUACAAAAAAUGGGACGGUUGUAAUCCUCGUUGUCAACAUACCUACCGGACUGAACCAAACCAAGCUCUCAAUUUUGGAUAAACGGAUAACAUAAUACUGCAGAGCUCCUGCUUCACUGGACUGAGCUUCCAGGGGCUGCAAAUGGCCGCUCUUAGCCUUGGCAUCGCCAUCUCCACAACAGUCACUGUCCGCACAAGGCCAAUAACAAGAACCAGUCGCAGGCCCCGAAUCUCCUGCGUUGGAUGGGAUCCAGAGGGGUUAUUUGGUCCUCCACAGACGGGCCACAUCGCCCGACGCGAGUUCCAAAGACGCCUGGAGAGAGACGCCGAGGUUCGUGAGGCAUUUGAGCAACAUACCCGCGAAGAGAAAGAGCGUCGCCGAGCUCUGCGCCGAUCUCGAGUUACACCGGAUACUCCAGCGGAGCUUAUUGAGUACUUUCUUGAAACUGAGGCUCAGGAGAUCGAGUUUGAGAUUGCGAGGAUGAGGCCCCGAUUGAAUCAGGAAUUCUUCUCACAUCUACAAUUUGAACUGGGGCAGCUUCGGUUUGCUGUUUCAAAAACAGAGGAUAUGGAGGACAGAUUGAUUGAGCUGGAAGCACUGCAGAAGGCUCUGCUAGAAGGCACAGAAGCCUAUGAUAAAAUGCAAGGUGAACUUGUAAAGGCAAGGAACAGCCUAACCAAAAUCUUGACAUCGAAGGAUGUGAAAGCAACUGUACGUAUUACUAUUUUCACUCAUGCAGCCUUCAAUUUAUUUACUUUACUAUUUUGUGCUGCAUAAUUAUGUUCGCUAUAUGGCUUCGUCUAUUUAUGCUAGUUGUUGGAGAUGGUUGAGCAGAAGGAACUCAAUAGAUCCUUGUUGACACUUCUUGAUGAAAAUAUAUCAAGUGCCAACCAAAGUAACCAGGUGUGACCUUUAGAUGAAUUCUUUCAGUAAUAUGCCUCUUUUUUUGAGACUUUAUUGUUGUGGUAGAGGAACUUAAAACCACAUCUAUACUAUAAAUCAUUUAGCUAACAUGUUAAAACUGUAGCACUGCAUUUAAAUGCCUAAACUUUACAUCAGACUUUAUCUGUCCCCUGCAGAAAGAAGCAGCGGCUUUCAUGGAAAAGCUUCGUGCAGCUAUGCUAAAGUACAUGACAGUUUAGCACUCGAUGCUUAUUUACAGCUUGGACAGAAUAAUCUUUACAUGGAGACUAAUCUUUACAGCCUCGUUUGUUCCAUUGUUCUAUGAAAUCACUUGCACAAGCUUCACCAAAGUGGGGCAAACUAUAAAUGUUGGAUUUUUGUAUUAGGGUUGCCCGAUGAUGAUAUCUAAUGACUGCUUGUCAACGGCAUAAUUCGAUUGGUUUUAGUGAUCGAGAUAAUUUCAGAGGUGCUGGAACGAAACCUGGUUGACUUUAGGCUGUACGAACCUGUUUUAGUUUCGUAUAAACCUUUUCAAAGGCUUGUGCAAACCUUUUCAAAGGCUUGUGCAAACCUUUUUCUAUUGUGCAUUAUUUCAAAAUGUAGAAAAAGAGAUGUAGAAAGAGAUAAUUCUCAUUGAUAUCAAUUAAUCUGUACAUGGGUAUA
rnacentral:misc_RNA from 1 species